rnacentral:rRNA from 1 species
CACUGAAGCCGAAGGGAGACCGAGUGUGAAUAGCGCGUACAGUUUGCAGUAUACGACCCGAAACCGGGUGACCUAACCAUGGACAGGUUGAAGUGGAAGUAAAAUUCCAUGGAGGACCGAACCCACGUCUGUUGAAAAAGGCGGGGAUGAGCUGUGGUUAGCGGUGAAAUUCCAAUCGAACUCGGAUAUAGCUGGUUCUCAUCGAAAUAGCUUUAGGGCUAGCCUCAGGAUAGUUUAGCGGAGGUAAAGCACUGAAUGGGCUAGGGGGCUUCACGGCUUACCGAACCCUAUCAAACUCUGAAUGCCGCAUAAAUGUUUCCUGGGAGUCAGACUGCGUGAGAUAAGUUUCGUAGUCAAAAGGGAAAGAGCCCAGACCUACAGCUAAGGUCCCUAAAUGAAUUUAAGUGGAAAAGGAUGUGCAGUUGCGUAGACAACUAGGACGUUGGCUUAGAAGCAGCCACUCAUUUAAAGAGUGCGUAAUAGCUCACUAGUCGAGUGAUUGUGCGCCGAAAAUGUAACGGGGCUAAAAUUCAUACCGAAGCUUAGGAAUGAUAGUAAUAUUGUUGGUAGAUGAGCGUUGUGUAAGUCUGCGAAGCUACACCGAAAGGAGUAGUGGAGAUAUCACAAGUGAGAAUGCCGGAAUGAGUAGCGAGAAUUAUGUGAGAAUCAUAAUGGUCGAAAAUCUAAGGUUUCUUGAGGAAGGUUCGUCCGCUCAAGGUAAGCCGGGAGCUAAGGCGAGGCCGAAAGGCGUAGUCGAUGCACAUACGGUAGAAAUUCCGUAGCCACCGAACUUUAAGUCAGAGGGACACUUUUGGAUAGCGGAACCCGGGCGUUGGUUGACCCGGGCGAAAGGGAGCGAAAAUAUAGUAGCGAAGUCCGCGAUGCUGAGAGGCGAGAAAAGCUCUGAUGGAUACUAAGGUGCCCGUACCGCAAACCGACACAGGUAGAUGAGGAGAGAAUCCUAAGGCCAACGGGAGAAGGGUUGUUAAGGAACUCGGCAAGUUGACCCCGUAACUUCGGAAUAAGGGGAGCCUCGAAAGAGGCCGCAGUGAAAAGGCCCAAGCAACUGUUUACCAAAAACACAGGUCUAUGCUAAAUCGAAAGAUGACGUAUAUGGGCUGACGCCUGCCCGGUGCUGGAAGGUUAAGGGGAAGUGUUAGAGCAAUCGAAGCACUGAACUUAAGCCCCAGUAAACGGCGGCCGUAACUAUAACGGUCCUAAGGUAGCGAAAUUCCUUGUCGGGUAAGUUCCGACCCGCACGAAAGGCGUAACGAUCUGGGAACUGUCUCAACAAUAGACUCGGUGAAAUUGUAGUACCGGUAAAGAUGCCGGUUACCCGCAGCAGGACGGAAAGACCCCAUGGAGCUUUACUGUAGCUUGAUAUUGAAUUUCGGCGUUGCAUGUACAGGAUAGGUGGGAGACGAAGAGAUGAGUACGCCAGUAUUCAUGGAGUCACUGUUGGGAUACCACCCUUGUAACGUUGAGGUUCUAACGGUGUGCCGUAAACCGGCAUCCGGACAGUGUCAGGUGGGCAGUUUGACUGGGGCGGUCGCCUCCUAAAGAGUAACGGAGGCGCCCAAAGGU